UGGGGAAUAUUGCACAAUGGGGGAAACCCUGAUGCAGCGACGCCGCGUGAACGAAGAAGGUAUUCGUAUCGUAAAGUUCUGUCCUAUGGGAAGAUAAUGACAGUACCAUAGAAGAAAGCUCCGGCUAAAUACGUGCCAGCAGCCGCGGUAAUACGUAUGGAGCGAGCGUUGUCCGGAAUUAUUGGGCGUAAAGGGUACGCAGGCGGUUUAAUAAGUCGAAUGUUAAAGAUCGGGGCUCAACCCCGUAAAGCAUUGGAAACUGAUAAACUUGAGUAGUGGAGAGGAAAGUGGAAUUCCUAGUGUAGUGGUGAAAUACGUAGAUAUUAGUAGGAAUACCAGUAGCGAAGGCGACUUUCUGGACACAAACUGACGCUGAGGUACGAAAGCGUGGGGAGCAAACAGG
rnacentral:rRNA from 1 species